GUGGGGGGCGCGGACAUGUCCGGUGACGCGCCUCCUGCGUCCGCGCUGGAAGCAGCGGGUGUUGUGGGGAAGGCGGUGUGCGCAGGCGCGGCGCUGACGGCCGCUCUCUACCUGAUCCGCAGAGUGUGUUUAAUAAUGGCCUGGAAAUCAGGAGGAACCAGCCAAGCAGAGCUCGUCAACAACCUCCGCAAGAAUGGCAUCAUUAAGUCGGACCGUGUGUAUGAAGUUAUGCUGGCUACAGAUCGAGCCCACUUCUCCAGAUGUAACCCCUAUAUGGACUCUCCACAGUCUAUAGGCUACCAGGCAACCAUCAGUGCACCACACAUGCACGCAUAUGCACUGGAGCUCCUACAUGAUCAGCUGUACGAGGGUGCCAAAGCCCUGGAUGUGGGCUCAGGCAGUGGCAUCCUGUCCGUCUGUUUUGCCAGAAUGGUGGGGCCAAAGGGAAAAGUCAUAGGGAUUGACCACAUAAAAGAACUAGUGGACGACUCGAUCAAUAACGUAAAGAAAGACGACCCUUCUUUGAUAUCAUCAGGACGCAUUAAACUUAUUGUUGGAGAUGGAAGGUUGGGAUUUUUGGAGGAGGCACCCUAUGAUGCUAUUCACGUAGGAGCUGCAGCUCCCUCUGUGCCACAGGCUCUGUUGGACCAGCUGAAGCCGGGUGGGCGUCUGAUCCUGCCAGUGGGGCCAGCAGGAGGGAACCAAAUGCUGGAGCAGCACGACAAGAUGGAGGACGGCAGCACCAAAAUGAAGCCCCUAAUGGGGGUGAUUUACGUGCCUUUAACAGACAAAGACAAGCAGUGGUCCAGGUGGAAGUGACUUCCUGUCCCUUGUCCCCUCUCUCCCUCCCCCAGGGCACAGGUGAAAUGGGAUGAACUCUGAAACGACAGUCUGGCAAUAUUCACCACCACGCGUACAGAAAACCCACACACAUCUACACACUCAUGACAUACACACCAUCCAUCAGGACUUAACAACUAAUGACGAGAUGGUAAACCCACGGUGAAGGAAAAUCCACACUGAUUGCACUCGUGCUCUCGGAACAGUCCCGACUGCUGUGUGGCCAAAGAGCCCUCAGGAUGGAUGGAACAGAAUGAUUGCUGUUAAAAAGGGAAAAAAAAGAAAACAACAAAAAAACAACACAAAAUAGGAAAAGAAGAGUGGGGCUUUGUCUUGACAUUGUCAUGCCUGCAGUUUGCUUUGGGAUUGUGAACUUAUUUUCAUUUUCUCUUUUUGAUCGUUGAUUUGCAGGUGCACAUGUUUUUUGUGAUAACUACAGUAUUGCAAUUAUUUUAUUUUUGUUUAUGUGCAUUUCAGCUUGGUUGGAGCUGAGCCUAAGGGGGUGCUGUGUCUCUUUUGGACUAUAGGACAGGACAGAGUGUUCUUAGAAGAGGAGCCUGCGCUCCAUUAUAAUAUUAAUGACGCUAGCCUUCGGCGCAUAGUAGAGAAGCUGCAGCAGUGUUGAACACAUCUAGGCUCAAGUCUAGAUUGUAAUGUUUAAGAAUCCCAGCUGGGAAUCCUUAGGCCCUGUCUUGAGUCUAGAGUGGCAGAGUGUUCUUGAUCAGGGCUUCCAAAAUGUUCUUUAUAGAGAUCACUUCUUGACUGAGGACCCCCUUUCCCACCAACAUUAUUUUCUUGAUAACAAACUAAAAAUGAUUUUCAUUGAGUGCAGUUGUCUACAUGGCACAUACUUCUAUUUUACAGAAAUUGGAGAUUUCUGAAAUGAAACAAAUAAAUCCUUGUGUAGCAAGGUCAAUAAGAGAGUGAUGCUCUGAUUGUGUUUGUUUUCUUUUUUUGUUGAAGGGUGCAGAAACAGUGUGUUAGCUAGCUAACAGUCAAAAGUCUAAGCUUGCUAAUUUAGUUUAAACAUUGUUUUUAAAAGGACAUCAAGAUGAUCAACCAGAGUAUAAUACCAUAAUGUCCUUCAUUGGACAUUAAAGUAAGUGAUUAAUGUCAGUUGCACAAUGUUCAACUGUUAGUGCAUAUCUGUUUUUUACUCUUUGGAUUUAACACAGAUUGAGGUCUGUUGUUCAACAGGAUUGACAUCUAUUGCUUGAGCUUGGCCUCACCCACUGCAUUGGACAAAAUAAAAAAAUUGCAUUUUGAGUUAUUUUUAUUGCUUAGGGAUGAUUUGUGAAAUGUAAAAUUUACAUAAAAAGUAUAUAAAAUAGGAUCAACAAUGUAAAAUAAAUGAUUACACUCCAAUUAAAAUAAAAAUGUUUCAGGUCAGAAAGGGUUAAUAAGUUUGCUAAUGUAAAGUCUAUAUAGCUAGCUAAGUUCAAAACAGGUAUAAAGAUUAAUGAUUGAAUUGGAGUAUCAAUGAUUUAUUGGCAGUCUGGCUAACACUGUAACGUUACAAUGAAUCAUUUCCAUUGUUCUUUGGCUCACUAAGUGAAUUUCUUUUUCAAGAUUAGCUGGCUAGCUAACUCGCUAGUUUCUAAACAAGUACCGGUAAAUAGAUUGAUGAUUCAAAGGUGCAGUACUGUUUUGUUGUCUGUGUUGGAGAUGAAAGUCAAAAGGAUUAAUCUCAAUUAUAAAGUAUUCCAAUUUUCUUUAAGUGCCCAUUUCAUAGUCUAAUUUUGUGAAAACCUUGGGGGUCCCUCGUACAGUUUAAGAAUCUCGGCUCUUGAUCUCCAGUCUCCGACUCCAUUGAUCUGCUAGAGCUCCAGCUGAGUUUAGUGUAGAUUUGCUCAUUCUGGUUAUGACAGUAUUUUAACCCUGCUCACUGUAGCUGAUCUGCACGCAGCUCAUGCUAAUUCGCACUGGCAGGCCGACACGCUACUGUUGGAGGGUCACGUUGCGUGCAAACAGCAGCACGAAGCCAGCUUUUGCACACACACACACACACUCACUCCCACAGACACGCAAACACAUUCACUGACUCGCACACACACAUGCAGGGCUGUGCUUGCGCCCCCUUCCACUUUGGAAGUGCUCUCUGUCACUGGUCAACAUGCUGAUUCUCUGCGCAGGUGGUGUGAUGCCUGCAUUCGCACAAACUUGGCUUUGUACAAAUAAAACUCAACGCAGUGCAAA